GAUGAACGCUAGCGACAGGCUUAACACAUGCAAGUCGAGGGGCAGCACGGUGUAGCAAUACAUUGGUGGCGACCGGCGCACGGGUGAGUAACGCGUAUGCAACCUACCUAUCAGAGGGGAAUAACCCGGCGAAAGUCGGACUAAUACCGCAUAAAACAGGGGUUCCACAUGGAAAUAUUUGUUAAAGAGUUAUCGCUGAUAGAUGGGCAUGCGUUCCAGUAGAUAGUUGGUGAGGUAACGGCUCACCAAGUCUACGAUGGGUAGGGGUCCUGAAAGGAAGGCCCCCCACACUGGUACUGAGACACGGACCAGACUCCUACGGGAGGCAGCAGUGAGGAAUAUUGGUCAAUGGGCGAGUGCCUGAACCAGCCAAGUCGCGUGAAGGAUGAAGGAUCUAUGGUUUGUAAACUUCUUUUAUAUGGGAAUAAAGUGAGGAACGUGUUCCUUUUUGUAUGUACCAUAUGAAUAAGCAUCGGCUAACUCCGUGCCAGCAGCCGCCGUAA
rnacentral:rRNA from 1 species